UACGUAGGGUGCGAGCGUUGUCCGGAAUUAUUGGGCGUAAAGAGCUUGUAGGCGGUCUGUCGCGUCUGCUGUGAAAUCCGGGCUCAACCCCGGACUUGCAGUGGGUACGGGCAGACUAGAGUGUGGUAGGGAGACUGGAAUUCCUGGUGUAGCGGUGAAAUGCGCAGAUAUCAGGAGGAACACCGAUGGCGAAGGCAGGUCUCUGGGCCAGCUACUGACGCUGAGAAGCGAAAGCAUGGGGAGCGAACAGG
rnacentral:rRNA from 1 species